GAUGAACGCUGGCGGCGUGCCUAAUACAUGCAAGUCGAGCGAACAGACGAGGAGCUUGCUCCUCUGACGUUAGCGGCGGACGGGUGAGUAAAACGUGGAUAACCUACCUAUAAGACUGGGAUAACUUCGGGAAACCGGAGCUAAUACCGGAUAACAUGUUGAACCGCAUGGUUUAACAGUGAAAGACGGUCUUGCUGUCACUUAUAGAUGGAUCCGCGCCGCAUUAGCUAGUUGGUAAGGUAACGGCUUACCAAGGCAACGAUGCGUAGCCGACCUGAAAGGGUGAUCGGCCACAUUGGAACUGAGACACGGUCCAGACUCCUACGGGAGGCAGCAGUAGGGAAUCUUCCGCAAUGGGCGAAAGCCUGACGGAGCAACGCCGCGUGAGUGAAGAAGGUCUUCGGAUCGUAAAACUCUGUUAUUAGGGAAGAACAAAUGUGUAAGUAACUAUGCUCGUCUUGACGGUACCUAAUCAGAAAGCCACGGCUAACUACGUG
rnacentral:rRNA from 1 species